rnacentral:rRNA from 1 species
CCUUUAGGUUAGCGGCGGACGGGUGAGUAACACGUGGGCAACCUGCCCUGCAGACUGGGAUAACUUCGGGAAACCGGAGCUAAUACCGGAUAACACCGAAAACCGCAUGGUUUUCGGUUGAAAGGCGGCUUUUAGCUGUCACUGCAGGAUGGGCCCGCGGCGCAUUAGCUAGUUGGUGAGGUAACGGCUCACCAAGGCGACGAUGCGUAGCCGACCUGAGAGGGUGACCGGCCACACUGGGACUGAGACACGGCCCAGACUCCUACGGGAGGCAGCAGUAGGGAAUCUUCCGCAAUGGACGAAAGUCUGACGGAGCAACGCCGCGUGAGCGAAGAAGGUCUUCGGAUCGUAAAGCUCUGUUGUCAGGGAAGAACAAGUACCGUUCGAACAGGGCGGUACCUUGACGGUACCUGACGAGGAAGCCACGGCUAACUACGUGCCAGCAGCCGCGGUAAUACGUAGGUGGCAAGCGUUGUCCGGAAUUAUUGGGCGUAAAGCGCGCGCAGGCGGUUCCUUAAGUCUGAUGUGAAAUCUCGCGGCUCAACCGCGAGCGGCCAUUGGAAACUGGGGAACUUGAGUGCAGGAGAGGGGAGCGGAAUUCCACGU